UGGCGCACGGGUGAGUAAUACAUCGGAACGUGUCUUCUAGUGGGGGAUAACUGCCCGAAAGGGCAGCUAAUACCGCAUGAGACCUGAGGGUGAAAGCGGGGGAUCGCAAGACCUCGCGCUGGAAGAGCGGCCGAUGUCCGAUUAGCCAGUUGGCGGGGUAACGGCCCACCAAAGCGACGAUCAGUAGCCGACCUGAGAGGGUGACCGGCCACAUUGGGACUGAGACACGGACCAA
rnacentral:rRNA from 1 species